AUGCAUAGAACAACAACCGUCGCCGACGACCCAGAUAGCAGAAAUGCCAAGUACCCCUUCGAGUUGACGAGACCGGCAAGUUCCAAGACCCCAAGUACCUCUUCGAAACGACUGAGUACCACUACCGUCGACCCUCGAAGACCCCGUGGACGUCAAGUUCCUCGUUGUGACCCCGAACACCUACGGAGUAUGUACAACUACGAAGCGAGAACGACUACUUCCACUACGAACGUCCCGAGAAUGUCUACUUCCUCUACUUUGCACCGAACGAGAACCGUCCCGUUUGCACGCUUUGAAGGUAUAACCCCGAGACAACGCCCGUGA
rnacentral:rRNA from 1 species